AUUGAACGCUGGCGGCAGGCCUAACACAUGCACGUCGAGCGAGCGGCGGACGGGUGAGUAAUGUAUGGGGACUGCCCGAUAGAGGGGGAUAACUACUGGAAACGGUGGCUAAUACCGCAUACUAUCGGAUAACCCAUAUGGGAUUAGCUAGUAGGUGGGGUAACGGCUCACCUAGGCGACGAUCUCUCGCUGGUCUGAGAGGAUGAUCAGCCAGGCUGUGAGUGAGACAAGGCCCAGACUCCUACGGAGGGAGCAGUGGGGAAUAUUGCACAAUGGGCGCAAGCCUGAUGCAGCCCGGCCGGGUGUAUGAAGAAGGCCUUAGGGUUGUAAAGUACUUUCAGCGGGGAGGCGUUACCCGCAGAAGAAGCACCGGCUAACUCCGUGCCAGCAGCCGCGGUAAUAC
rnacentral:rRNA from 1 species